rnacentral:rRNA from 1 species
GAUGAACGCUAGCGGGAGGCCUAACACAUGCAAGCCGAGCGGUAGAGUUUCUUCGGAAACUUGAGAGCGGCGCACGGGUGCGUAACACGUGUGCAACCUACCUUUAUCUGGGGGAUAGCCUUUCGAAAGGAAGAUUAAUACCCCAUAAUAUAAUGAUUGGCAUCAAUUAUUAUUGAAAACUCCGGUGGAUAGAGAUGGGCACGCGCAAGAUUAGAUAGUUGGUGAGGUAACGGCUCACCAAGUCAAUGAUCUUUAGGGGUCCUGAGAGGGAGAUCCCCCACACUGGUACUGAGACACGGACCAGACUCCUACGGGAGGCAGCAGUGAGGAAUAUUGGACAAUGGGCGAGAGCCUGAUCCAGCCAUCCCGCGUGAAGGAUGACGGUCCUAUGGAUUGUAAACUUCUUUUGUACAGGGAUAAACCUACCCUCGUGAGGGUAGCUGAAGGUACUGUACGAAUAAGCACCGGCUAACUCCGUG